rnacentral:rRNA from 1 species
AUUGAACGCUGGCGGCAGGCCUAACACAUGCAAGUCGAGCGGAUGAAGAGAGCUUGCUCUCUGAUUUAGCGGCGGACGGGUGAGUAAUGCCUAGGAAUCUGCCUGGUAGUGGGGGAUAACGUCCGGAAACGGGCGCUAAUACCGCAUACGUCCUACGGGAGAAAGCAGGGGACCUUCGGGACUUGCGCUAUCAGAUGAGCCUAGGUCGGAUUAGCUAGUUGGUGAGGUAAUGGCUCACCAAGGCGACGAUCCGUAACUGGUCUGAGAGGAUGAGCAGUCACAUUGGAACGGAGACUCGGUCCAGACGCAUACGGGAGGCAGCAGUGGGGAAUAUUGGACAAUGGGCGAAAGCCUGAUCCAGCCAUGCCGCGUGUGUGAAGAAGGUCUUCGGAUUGUAAAGCACUUUAAGUUGGGAGGAAGGGCAGUAAGUUAAUACCUUGCUGUUUUGACGUUACCGACAGAAUAAGCACCGGCUAACUUCGUGCCAGCCGCCGCCGUAAUAC